rnacentral:rRNA from 1 species
UGGGGAAUAUUGAACAAUGGGCGAAAGCCUGAUCCAGCCAUGCCGCGUGAGUGACGAAGGCCUUAGGGUUGUAAAACUCUUUCGUCGGGGACGAUAAUGACGGUACCCGAAGAAGAAGCUCCGGCUAACUUCGUGCCAGCAGCCGCGGUAAUACGAAGGGAGCUAGCGUUGUUCGGAAUCACUGGGCGUAAAGCGCACGUAGGCGGAUAGUUAAGUCAGGGGUGAAAUCCUGGGGCUCAACCCCAGAACUGCCUUUGAUACUGGCUGUCUCGAGGUCGAGAGAGGUUGGUGGAAUUCCUAGUGUAGAGGUGAAAUUCGUAGAUAUUAGGAAGAACACCAGUGGCGAAGGCGGCCAACUGGCUCGAUACUGACGCUGAGGUGCGAAAGCGUGGGGAGCAAACAGGAUUAGAUACCCACGUAGUCCUGAGCGGGCUGGCAAGGCGCAU